rnacentral:rRNA from 1 species
UGGGGAAUAUUGCACAAUGGGCGCAAGCCUGAUGCAGCCAUGCCGCGUGUAUGAAGAAGGCCUUCGGGUUGUAAAGUACUUUCAGCGGGGAGGAAGGCGAUAAGGUUAAUAACCUUGUCGAUUGACGUUACCCGCAGAAGAAGCACAGGCUAACUCCGUGCCAGCAGCCGCGGUAAUACGGAGGGUGCAAGCGUUAAUCGGAAUUACUGGGCGUAAAGCGCACGCAGGCGGUCUGUCAAGUCGGAUGUGAAAUCCCCGGGGUCAACCUGGGAACUGCAUUCGAAACUGGCAGGCUAGAGUCUUGUAGAGGGGGGUAGAAUUCCAGGUGUAGCGGUGAAAUGCGUAGAGAUCUGGAGGAAUACCGGUGGCGAAGGCGGCCCCCUGGACAAAGACUGACGCUCAGGUGCGAAAGCGUGGGGAGCAAACA